GGUCGUGUGGCCCAAUGGCAAGGCGCUUGACUACGAAUCAAGAGAUUCCAGGUUCGAGUGAGUCAAUACA
rnacentral:tRNA from 1 species